UACGAAGGGGGCUAGCGUUGCUCGGAAUCACUGGGCGUAAAGGGUGCGUAGGCGGGUCUUUAAGUCAGGGGUGAAAGCCUGAGGCUCAACCUCAGAACUGCCUUUGAUACUGAGAGUCUCGAGACCGGUAGAGGUAAGUGGAACUGCGAGUGUAGAGGUGAAAUUCGUAGAUAUUCGCAAGAACACCAGUGGCGAAGGCGGCUUACUGGACCGGUUCUGACGCUGAGGCGCGAAAGCGUGGGGAGCAAACAGG
rnacentral:rRNA from 1 species